AGACAGAGAUUUUGAGCCUCUGGUGAUGGGCUGUGGCAAAUGGCCCACACUCUUGUGGAGGGCAAAGCUCAACCCUUGCUUGAGGGCAAGUGAGGAGCCUCCUCUCCCUGCUCAGCCUCAUGAGUGUCACUUCAGCACUUGGAUCCUGAGUGUGGAUCAAUCCUGGCCCUGGAGAAAGCCAGGCUCCUGGAUCAGCCCAUGGCUGCUCAGGAAGGACAGGAGAGAAGCUGUGCUGUGGCUCAGGUGACAUCCCUGGGCAAGCCCAGUGUAGGUGCAUGUGGCAGCACCCUUGUUGGGGGCUCAGCUGGGAGCCCUGGCAGCCUCUUCCCCUUUCCCUCAGAGCUGCUGUGUGAGCAGGAAAAGCAAAAUUUUGUGGGAUUGUUGUGGAUCUGCUGCUGAUCUCCAGGCCCCAGAGCAAAAGCCUCUCCCAAAACCACCACUGGGGUCCCCAGGGAGGGCCCCAGCCCCAGAGAGAAAUCAUCAGGCAGGGAAAGCUUUCAUUUCCUUUCUGUCUUUGCCUUCUCCAGGGCCAGGCUUGAUUACUCCUUUCAGCAACACAAAGUGCUAGAGAGGCUCAGCAGCCAGAGAUCAAUUUUCUCUGCUCUUGGUGCAAUGUGUCUGUGCAGGGGGAAGUGGCUUUUUGCCUUCCCUUCCCAUUGUGCUGAGUCUUGGUGGGUGGCACCAGGGGCAGUGGCAGCUGCAUUGCCAGAGGGAGGGUGGCAGGGAAUGUGUGCCAGCCCUCACCUGGUGCUCUGCUGAUGGAGGGGGUCAAAGCCUUUCACUCACAGCCAUUGAAGAGCAAAGACAUUGCUGGGAAAGAAAUCCCAGCUUGUCUCAGGCAUCAGUACCACUCUGAGGCAGGGUGGGACUCACCACUGCUGCCUCUGCUCCUGCUGUGACAUCCCCUCUCAUUCACCACUUGCUAAUGGAGGAUGACUUUCUUUCUAGGGAACAUGCAAAAAUUUGUCUCCACAGGAAUAAUAUGCAAAGAUCUCAUGUUUAAGUGAUUGGAACAUCGUGGCAGCACAAGGACUUUCCUUGGCCAAGCACUUUAACCCCUUGGUUCCCAGGCUCCUGGAGCAGUCAGCCUCUGAGGUCUGCUGGUUUGGCUCCUUUGGACGACGAUGAUGAUGAUGGAUGCCACAUGUCAUCCAGGCUACAGCUCUCCAGGGUGUUAUGAAGACUCUUCCUGGUGUCUGGAUCAUCUCCAAGCAGCCAGGUGUUCUCUCCAGGAGAGCUGACAGGCUCUGGUGUGGAGGACACACAGCUUUGUCCCAUCGGCCUCCCUUGACAGGGAAGCUGAUCAAGUGUCUCAUAAUGAGCUCGCCAUGCUCCUGCUCUGCAAUGCUUUGUUGGCUGCUGGCAAAGGCAGCCUGGGGGGAAGCUCUGCCUGGCUCCCACUGCCCAUGGUUCUGCCACUGCACUGCCAUGGAAAGCCUUUCCCUCUGCCCUCAGGCUGAGCUCUGGAGGCAGCUCAUCCAAGAUGUGCAGGGUGGCCAUCUGGGGACAUGUGCCAGGCACGGGGACUCUCUGCUGGUGUGUUUGUGUGGCUGGGGAAAAGAGCUGGAUGGGAAAGUGAGUGUCCUCAGCAUGGGAAACAGGGCCAUGCCAGGAAGAUGGCCUGUGAUAUUCUGAUUUGAUAUUCCAUGACUCAAAAUAAAGUGGGAUGUGCCACCCUACAGCAUUUGGUGGCAGUGGCAGUGCCCACCUGGGAAGAAUCUCCCACAUGCCAUGAGUGCUGCCAGAGCUCAGACAUUGUGCAUCCCAUGCACAAUAAGGAAAGUGCCACCAGUAUUCCUACAGGAAUGUCCCUGUGUCACCCACCCAAGGCACUGAGGAGCCACGAGGAGCUCAGUGUCUCAGUGACACUGCCUGUCCAGGGCUGGGGACAGCACAAGGCAGGGGUGCUCUGGUCUCAGGUCACCGCACAACCUGGCAGUGCCCGCCCGGGGACUCGGCACGCUUUAAUGAGCUCAGAGCCUGCACGGAGGAAUUAACGACUCAGAAUAAUACUUGUCACUUCUCUGGGAGGAAAUUGUCAAGUGAAAAGCAAUUUACUAAAAAAGGAGGGAGGAAAGAAAUGGUUUUGCUUAUUAAGAUCAACAUCAUAUUAAAGUAUUUUCUCAAUACCCCAUUUGGGUUGAAUUUUACAUUUUCUCUCUCUUGUUCUCACCAAUGGGAGUAAAGCAGGAGGUUUCACUCUAAUUAAUUGUUGUCUGCUUCAUUUGGCCAGCAAAUUUCAUGAGCAAGGUUACACAUUUCUGUAGCAUUUGAAUUUCAAAUGCUGCAGGAAUAUGACAAAAAAAGGAAAACACGUGGAAUUCUAAAAGCAAAUGGAAACCUUUCUGUAAGACAUCAGUUUAAAAUUGCUUUAUACUUACAAAUCUUAAAAAUAUAUCUUGUCUGGGUAUUUACCUUCCCCCUCCUUUCUAUUCAUUUGGAGUUUAAAGCAACAUGUUUGGUUUAUGUAUUCACUGUUGCCUUUUUCAGCCUUAAGGAGCUGUAUUUUCAGUUUUACUCUACUGUUGGCUAGAAAUUUUAAAACAUAUAUAUAUAUGUACGUAUGUAUGUCUGUAUAUGUAUUUCUCUGAAGAGGCUGUCCCAUGUGUUGGUGAUUUAACCAAGGCAAAUCUGAGGACAGCCCUGCUCUGCUUUGCAGAAACUUGUGGAAGGUGGUACCAAGGAGAGGGUGCUGUGCUAGCAUCGUGUUGGGUGUGUGCAGGACAGGCCACUCUGAGAGCCAGGAGCUGCAGCUCGGUGUGAGCCCAACAGACCCAGAGAGCAAAAGCUGGAGGCGCUUCCAGGCACUGCAGAAAGGAUUACAGCAGCUUGGACUGUGAAGGGCAACGAGGAGAGAGCUCAGCUCGACGUCUGGAGAAAAUAGGAAGAGGAAUGACCCGUGAAAGCACAUUGCUGGCUUCACCAGCACGGCCUGCUUACGUGGAGCUGUGGCUCAUCACCACCCAGAGACCAAGAGACCCACUCACAUCCUGCAGGCGGGAGGUGCAGCAUCAGAGGGGACAACCAGGAGAGAGGGCUGGUGGGGAGCUGAGGGGCUGCAGGCACUGAGUGUGGCUGCCUGUGGUGCUGAUCAGCUCCUGGCCAAGCUCUUCUAAAUGGCUGCUGAUCUGGUACCAUGUCUGUGAGCCAGAGAAGAUGCUUCUCCCAGAAAUCCCAAUAGUCGCCUUGUUGUAUCAAUUAUAUUUCAGUGCAGCCCUCCUUCUGCUUUGGAAUUGGUAAUUGCUUUGGGUAAUGUCCUUUACCUCUUUUAAAGCACCAUCAUGUCUUUUGUUGCAACUAAAGUAAUGGCUAAAAGCUGAGGGAUGGCAGAAAAUCAGAAAUUUCUGAGAAAGGUCCUCAGGAUUUGCCUCUGAGUCAUCUCUAUAUUGGCAGGGAAAGCUGGCAAAAAAGAAAAGCAUCUCUGCAGGUUCUGAAACAGCCCCAGAAUUAGGAGACUGGGCCAGGUGGGCACAUUCAACCCCUAUGACACAUUUCACUGGAACCUGAUAGGGCUGAGAUCAAAAGCUGUCAUUGCAUUUAUGUGACUGGUGUAACAUGACCUCCCUGAAUGAGCUGCAUGUGAGAGCAGCCCCCGGUGCUCCAGCAGCCAUUCGAGCCCUGAGGAGCUGGUCCUACCCUGCAGCUUCCCUGCUGAACACCAUAAGGCACAAUAAGUGGAUUAGCAAAACCUCUGGAAGAGGCAAAGAAGAAAGGACGCGGGGCCUUAAGCUGGUUUUGCAUGUAUUUACGCAAAUGACGUCCCCAGCUAGAUGGUAACUGAGGUGAAAGCUGGGCUAGCCCUGCUGCCCUGGCUCAGCAGCUGCUGCAGCCCUCCUGGCAGAGGAGAGCCUGGUUUGCAGCUCGAGCAGACACAGGCAGUCAGAGCAGAUCGAUGAUGGCAGCAGGGACAGCCCACAAGAGGUGGCGGCAGGCACACAGCACCCACACCGUGCCUGCAGUGGGGAGGCUUUGGCUGCUGGGGGGUGCUGCAGUCCCACCCUGGCAUCCACAGGACACGUUCCAGACUCCUCACUCCAUCCAUGGCUUGGAGAGGCUCCUUUGUCACCUCUCAGGGUUCUGCUCCCAGUCCCACCUCCCUGCUGGGCGCAGCACCAGGCAGGAUUCAUCUCUCACGUUGGUGAGAUGGGGCUUGCAAUUAUUCCUGGCCCUUGCUUGUGCCAUCUGUCUGUUCCCUGAACAUCCCUGCAGGAUCUGUGUCUUAGCAGGUUAAUUUAAUAAGAGCCUGCUUUAUUGUUGCUGGCUGCAGGCACGCAUAGAGCAGCUGAGUCCAUCAACAGCACAGAGCUGCUCUGGCAGCAAUCGAACCCUGCCCGGAUGCUCAUUUGGGAAGGUUGUUCUGCUGAGAAAGGGCAAACCCUCCUGGGGCAGCAGUGAGGGCUGAGCCCUGCUCCUUUCUCCUUGGCAGGAGCUGUGGAGAAAGUGGCAGCAGAGAUUAAAUCAGGCCUUUGACCCGGGAUGUGCCACACCUCAGGGGAGGGGAUGGUGAUAGCGAGGGAGUGGCAGAGGUGGUGUUGGCAGGAUGUGCCCUGCGUGGCUGGCUCAGGGCUUGGCCUUUUAUGGCAGAAGCAGCUCUUCCCAUGCAGACUUUCAAAACCUUUUACAUCACCAGCUAUUUUUGUGGCUCAGGAUAUGUGGUAGGGCACAAGGUGGUGAAAGAGCCGUGCAAACUGUUUAAUGAAGGGAAUGACUUGUCUUAAGGAUAACAAACAACCUGGUGCACUUUGGGAUAGGCCCUUUUUUCAGCUAUAGGCAUCUAUGCCCAGGUAUAAAGUCAUGUGAGCUGGGAAAUAAAUCUUGGCAAUCCAAAUCAAUACUGGAGGAGGGGAAAAAUCCAUUUUCCCAAUCCUGUGUCCACCUGCUUGAACUUCCCCUCAGCCCAAGAGCCAGACAUUGCUGGUUAAAGUCAAUUGCACAAAAAUAUAUUUGGCUUCUCUCCCACUGUGCUCUUUGCCCCUUCCUCUCCCGCAGCCAUUCCUCCACCCAUCACACAUAAUGGACCAGCGUUGCCACAAAGACGUGCACAUAAUGAACCUAAGUGACCGUGUAAUCUUAUUAUUGUCACCCUCAUCCUCCCUUGCCCCUUCUCUCCCUCCCCCCAUUUGUCACUGUCGCCGAUUGUGUCAUGGUUAAAAUUAGAUGGGAAGCUCCUCUGGGAGCAACUGCGGCUUUCCUUUAUCCCCAGCACCCUGAGUGCAUUAAGGUACUUUGCAACAACUCGUGAUUUCUAAUGGGGUUAAAGUAGGAGGCAGCCUGUUUUAAUGCUCACCUUUUUACAUUUUCAAGCUGAUUCACCAGCCACAUGAAAAUCUUCCAUCCAGGCACGUCUGCCUCCUGCCAGCAAUUCACUUGACAACACAAUUCGGGAGGCAACAGUGAAGGAAGGAGAGGGCUUUUUACUUACAUGUAAUAAAGAAGAGUGAAUCAAAUUUGGUGUAACUUAAGUAAGAUUUGUUCUGGAGGAUAAAAGUCCUCAUUGACCUUUUCCCAUAAUGGACAUGUUCUCUUUAUGGAAAGAAAGUGAAUAAAAUAAAGCUGUUUGUGAAAACAGCCACAAGCAGA